AACGUCCUUAACGGCCCGUUAACCAUUCUCGGCUAGGAAUGAGGGCGUCCGGAGCCUUCUCCCGGAUGCCGAGUGGCUUUGAAGCCCACUCUGUUUGACGCUUCCCUGUUAGACUUGAAGAGCCGCCCGAGAGCGGCUCGAUUUUU
rnacentral:sRNA from 1 species